CAGCAGCCGCGGUAAUACAAAGGGUGCAAGCGUUAAUCGGAAUUACUGGGCGUAAAGCGUGCGUAGGCGGUGAGUUAAGUCUGCUGUGAAAUCCCCGGGCUCAACCUGGGAAUGGCAGUGGAUACUGGCUCGCUAGAGUGUGUCAGAGGAUGGUGGAAUUCCCGGUGUAGCGGUGAAAUGCGUAGAGAUCGGGAGGAACAUCAGUGGCGAAGGCGGCCAUCUGGGACAACACUGACGCUGAGGCACGAAAGCGUGGGGAGCAAACAGGAUUAGAUACCCCAGUAGUCCCUGUCUCUUAUAC
rnacentral:rRNA from 1 species